GACAGAGGUGCCGAGCGUUAGGCGGAAUCACUGGGCUUAAAGCGUGUGUAGGCGGAUCGUUAAGCACCUUGUGAAAUCCCACGGCUCAACCGUGGAACUGCUGGGUAUACUGGCGGUCUUGAGCCACCUAGGGGCGAGCGGAACAAACGGUGGAGCGGUGAAAUGCGUAGAUAUCGUUUGGAACGCCGAUGGUGAAAACAGGUCGCUGGGGUUGUGCUGACGCUGAGACACGAAAGCCAGGGGAGCGAACGGG
rnacentral:rRNA from 1 species